rnacentral:rRNA from 1 species
UACGUAGGCAGCAAGCGUUGUUCGGAAUUACUGGGCGUAAAGAGUACGUAGGUGGUUUGCCAAGUCCGAUGUGAAAUCUCCUGGCUUAACUGGGAGGGUGCGUUAGAUACUGGCAGGCUUGAAUGUGGGAGAGGAGAGCGGAAUUCCUGGUGUAGCGGUGAAAUGCGUAGAUAUCAGGAGGAACGCCUGUGGUGUAGACGGCUCUCUGGACCAUUAUUGACACUGAGGUACGAAAGCGUGGGUAGCAAACAGG